UGGCUACCUCUGCCUCAAUUUUAUCCCACAACUUAGACAUUCACAUUACUCACACCCUCAUUACACAUACUUAUAGGAUCUUGGGGAUGGGCAUGAUACACGGAGUCCAAGUUACCAUCAGGGUGUACACCUCACCCCUGGCAUCGUUGCCCACCUCUCAAUUUUAAAUACACGUAGACAUUGAGGGCUAGCAGGAGGGACUACGCGCUUACCUGCUGCUCUCUGGCAGGUAGCUCCAUGCCCUCCUGGGUUUUAAUUGCACCUUAGAACACACAUGCAUCAACACUACAAUGAGCGGGUGGAGGGAGGUUUGGAGUCUUCUCUCACCCCCAUUCUCUGCGGCCUGCUGGAGCGGGGGGGCUAGGAGGAGUUGGCCGUCCGGCUGCGGUCUGGGGUGUGGGGCCUCCCUGCUGCUGCGGAGUCGGGGUGGUCUGCCUCUCGCCAUCGCAGGGAAAAGGGUAAUACCACCUUGGUCAGGGUGCAGUUCCCCCCUCCAGGGGCAAGGGUACCUAGACCCAGUUUGUAGAGUACGCUUGGGGAGUGUGAUCGUGUAUACAGCGUCUCUUUAUGUCUGUCUCCACGUCGGUUGAGUGUGAAGUGCACAUGAGAGCAUGAGGGUGGGAAUGGAUGUUUGUGUCUGUGUGUGCCUGUAUGUCUGUGUCUAUAUGUCAGGUUGGGUAUCAGACGCCACCUCUCUGGGGACAUCUCGGGCCCUCCAAGGUUUGGAGGACUUUCUCCACCCACCACCACUUCCCCUGCCGGUGGCGGACUCCCUCAGGUGUCGGUGCGUUGGUGGUUCUUUGUAUCUGGGGGUGGGCGUCCGGGUACACACCGGCUCACUCCUUGGCGGCCGCUUAUUGGGGCUCGCUCGGGCCACUUCGGAGGUGGGGUGCCCCCGGCCUCUCGGCCUGGGGCUCGGUCACUCAGGCACAGCUGGCUGCCGGCGGAGCUCACACUGCAACUCCCCCUGGCUUCUGCUCCGCGGCUGCUGAAUGAGCCCUCAUCUGGGACUCUUAUUAGCUCUUACUGGGACAGUGGCGCGGGCUGCCCCUCUGUGGGUCUUCCUUGGUCUCUUGUGUUCUGGGGGCCUCUGGAUGUCUGGAGUUUUGAUCUCCUCCAUGCCUGCUUGAUGCCAUAAAGGACGGGGCUGUGGCUCCACGGGUGAAGUGUCUUGCCCAAGGACGCAACAACCAGUUAAGGCAACCUUCCGAUUACAAGACGAACUGCCAACUCUUGAGCCACGAUCGGUACCACACUCCCUAGCAGAUCAUUACAUGGAGAAACCUUUGGAAUACAAGCAUGCUGAUCCACACAGGUAUGCACACAGGUGUACACACGGGUAUUCACAGACGCGGACUACAGCUUUCUUGGCUGCUGCCUCAAAGCACACUGUACGCUGUCUAUCUUGCGUGCUGCACAAUAUCGUUUAUUAUUUAGUAACUAUUGAUAUCUAUGGCUAGCUAGUUUAUUGUGAUGGUGCUUUUUUUUUCUUAUUAUGUUGCUCUUUGUUGUUUGCUUUCUCUUCUGUUUUUUUUUCUCCAUACAGGUGACCCAGGAGUUUUGUUUUUUUGUUUGUUUGUUUUUUUUUUCCUUUCUUCCCCCCCUUCUCACUGUCUCUUCUCCCCUUUGGUUUUCUUUCUCUCCCUCUCUUUCUUUCAUUAAAAAAAAACAAAAAAAAAGAAAAGAAAGUUUUUCCUGAAGAUGAAAAAGCAUCAGUUGUUACCGUUGUGUACCCUUCUGGGUGUCGUGUUUGCAGGACUUCUUCCUAAGCUCAGUGCUCAGGAAGGUAAGUUCAGUCAAGUCAAUCUCAUUAAAGAAGCGGCAGAAGUCAUUUUACAGAUGUUAAGUUUUCAUCAGCACUCAGUGGGAUUUUUAUUGUCUAAAAUAUUUAGUCUCUAUUUACACCUGCUGGACUGGUUAUUUUUAUUAUUGCAGUUAUGUUUUGGACCUGAAUUCAAAAAGUUCUUCUCAAUAUUGGGCAAAAUCUUUAAAAUAGACACAUCAGAAUAUAUGAAACUGUAUGUUUAUACUGUACUGUACUGUAUAAAAUAUGUCUAAGGGACAUACUCUAAUGCCCACUUGAGACAUCACACCAUAACUGGGACCCAGUUUUUGUUUGGCUGUAGUUUUUAUUAUAUAUAUUGUAUCUUAAGAGCUAUAUAUGUGCUGGGCCCUAAAUUAUUUAUAUUAUAUAUAAAUGACAUAUGUAGCAUUUCCAAACUGUUAAAAUGUGUAUUGUUUGCUGAUGAUACCACUCUGUACUGCUCAGGUAAAAACCUAGAACAGCUUCUGACUACAGCGGAAAAUGAGUUAAAUAUAUUAAAAAACUGGUUUGAUGUAAAUAAGUUAUCAUUAAAUAUAAAGAAAACAAAAUUGAUUAUUUUUGGCACUAGACAAAUGAAAAAUCUAUCUAAAAUAAGGGUUAAUGGAAUUGAAAUUGAAAGAGUGUACAAAAAUAAAUUUCUUGGAGUGAUAAUUGAUGAUAAGCUGAGUUGGAAGUCUCAUAUAAACCAUGUGAAAACAAAAAUGUCAAAAACCAUCGCUAUUCUCUAUAAAACAAAGCAUGUCCUGAACAAAAAAUCAUUAUACACACUUUAUUGUACUCUGUUACUUCCAUAUAUGACUUACUGUCUGGAGAUAUGGGGUAAUGCAUAUAAAACGAACACUCUUCCUAUUUUCAAGUUACAAAAAAGAGCUAUAAGAAUUAUAAACCAAUCAAACUAUAUAGAACCAACUAACAUUUUGUUUAUUAAUCUGAAUACCCUGAAAUUUUAUGAUUUAGUUGAAUAUAAAAUGACACAGAUAAUGUAUAAAGCACAAAAUAACUUGCUUUGCCCCAGUACUCAGAAGCUGUUCAAAGUCAGAGAGAGUCAAUAUGACUUAAGGGGAACAGAUUUCUUUAAAAAAAAACAAGAUAAGGACAAAUAUAAAGCAGAGAUGUGUUUCUGUUAGAGGAGUUAACCUGUGGAAUAGUUAUGACAGUGAUUUAAAAAGGUGUAGUUCAUUUUCCUUGUUUAAAAACAUGUUUAAAAAUAG
ensembl:lncRNA